AAAUUUGAAAUCUGGCGCCUUCGGUGUCCGAGUUGUAAUUUGAAGAAGGUAACUUUGGUUUUGGCUCUUGUCUAUGUUCCUUGGAACAGGACGUCACAGAGGGUGAGAAUCCCGUGCGAUGAGAUGCCCAAUUCCAUGUAAAGUGCUUUCGAAGAGUCGAGUUGUUUGGGAAUGCAGCUCUAAGUGGGUGGUAAAUUCCAUCUAAAGCUAAAUAUUGGCGAGAGACCGAUAGCGAACAAGUACAGUGAUGGAAAGAUGAAAAGAACUUUGAAAAGAGAGUGAAAAAGUACGUGAAAUUGUUGAAAGGGAAGGGUUUGAGAUCAGACUUGGUAUUUUGUAUGUUUUACUCUCGGGUGAGGCCUCUGCAGUUUACUGGGCCAGCAUCAGUUUGGAUGGUAGGAUAAUGACAUUGGAAUGUGGCUCUUCGGAGUGUUAUAGCCCUUGUUGAUACUGCCUAUCUAGACUGAGGACUGCGUCUUUGACUAGGAUGCUGGCAUAAUGAUUUUAAACCG
rnacentral:rRNA from 2 species